GACAUGGAGGUUGGUGGUGGCAAUGACGUCGGUACUGGUUCCACUGGUGUUGGUUUUGGUGGAUUGGAAGGUGUCAACACAGGGAUGCUAGGAGAAGGUGUUGGUUUUGGUGGAUUUGAAGGUGUCAACAAAGGAAUGCUAGGAGAUGGUUUUGGUUUUGGUGGAUUUGAAGGUUUCAACACAGGAACGCUAGGAGAAGGUGUUGGUUUUGGUGGAUUGGAAGGUGUCAACACAGGAACGCUAGGAGAAGGUGUUGGUUUUGGUGGAUUGGAAGGUGUCAACACAGGAACGCUAGGAGAAGGUGUUGGUUUUGGUGGAUUGGAAGGUGUGGGCUGAAUGCUAGGAGCUGGUUUUGGUUUCGGUGGAUGUGAAGGUGUGGGCGGUGUUUUAGCUGGGGAUGGCGAUG
rnacentral:lncRNA from 1 species